AAAUAUAUCUUAAAUAAAUCUCAACUAAGUUCUAAUUUAAUCCUAGUUAAAAUCCUAAUAGACUUCAAUCAAAUCCUAAAAAAAAUUUAAAUCCUAAAUUAAUUCUAUAGUUCAAAUUUUAGACAAAUCUUAAAUCCUAAAUCAAAUCUUAGAUCAAACCUUAGAUCCUAAAUCAAAUCCUAAAUCAGACCUUAGACAAAUACUAAAUCCUAAACCAAAUCCUAGAUCAAAUCUUAGAUCCUAACCAAACCUUAAAUCAAACCUUAGACAAAUCUUAAACUCUAAAUCAAAUCUUAAAUUCUAAAUCAAAUCCUAGAUUAAAUCCUAGACUCUAAAUCAAAUUCUAAAUCAAAUCUUAGACAAAUCCUAAACUCUAAACCAAACCCUUUUCUUACUCAAUCUAAUCCUAGUACAAUAUAAAACCUAAAUAUCUAUCAAUUGAA
rnacentral:lncRNA from 1 species